rnacentral:rRNA from 1 species
CCUACGGGUGGCAGCAGUGAGGAAUAUUGGUCAAUGGGCGCGAGCCUGAACCAGCCAAGUAGCGUGAAGGAUGACUGCCCUACGGGUUGUAAACUUCUUUUAUAAAGGAAUAAAGUGAGGCACGUGUGCCUUUUUGUAUGUACUUUAUGAAUAAGGAUCGGCUAACUCCGUGCCAGCAGCCGCGGUAAUACGGAGGAUCCGAGCGUUAUCCGGAUUUAUUGGGGUUAAAGGGUGCGUAGAUGGGUUGUUAAGUCAGCUGUGAAAUUUUGCGGCUCAACCGUAUAAUUGCGAUUGAUACUGGCAGUCUUGAGUACAGUUGAGGUAUGCGGAAUUCGUGGUGUAGCGGUGAAAUGCUUAGAUAUCACGAAGAACUCCGAUUGCGAAGGCAGCUUACUAACCUGCCACAGACAUUGAUGCUCGAAAGUGUGGGUAUCAAACAGGAUUAGAUACCCGAGUAGUC